rnacentral:rRNA from 1 species
CGACCAGACUCCUACGGGAGGCAGCAGUGGGGAAUAUUGCACAAUGGGCGCAAGCCUGAUGCAGCCAUGCCGCGUGUAUGAAGAAGGCCUUCGGGUUGUAAAGUACUUUCAGCGGGGAGGAAGGCGAUAAGGUUAAUAACCUUGUCGAUUGACGUUACCCGCAGAAGAAGCACCGGCUAACUCCGUGCCAGCAGCCGCGGUAAUACGGAGGGUGCAAGCGUUAAUCGGAAUUACUGGGCGUAAAGCGCACGCAGGCGGUCUGUCAAGUCGGAUGUGAAAUCCCCGGGCUCAACCUGGGAACUGCAUGCGAAACUGGCAGGCUGGAGUGUUGGAGAGGGGGGGAGAAUUCCAGGUGUAGCGGUGAAAUGCGUAGAGAUCUGGGGGAAUACCGGUGGCGAAGGCGGCCCCCUGGACAAAGACUGGCGCUGAGGCUCGAAAGCGUGGGGAGCAAACAGGAUUAGAUACCCGCGUAA